UGCAGAGGAGCUGGAGCGCGCCUCACUUUCCCAGGUGCUGCUGCAGGCUCUGGGGGUGCUGGAGCGCCACGGGCCCAGGGAAGCCAGCAAAGGGCUCCCAGCUACUGGACAAGAUGGGGGAACUGACAUUCCUAGCACCAGGGGAGACUCCGAAAGGCUUUCCCUGGACAAGAUCCUAGCGCCAUACUGAACCAUCUCUUGGCAAGAAAUAGGAAGCAGCACCAGCAG